rnacentral:RNase_P_RNA from 2 species
GUGGGCGGUCGGCGGCUUCGGACGCCAUGUCUGAGGAAGUUCUGUCCAUGAGGUUGGGAACCGUAGCUCUUCAUGAGCCUGGCGAAAGUCAGGGUAAAGCACAGAAACAACACGGCCUCUACAAGAUGAUGAUGAGACAGCCCAUCUGUCGAUGAUUGUGGUGGAAGCGGUGAAAAGCUCCCUUACGGUCAUGCAAGACCAAAUGAUGCUGAUGAAAGCCCAGCCAGAGGUAAAGGUGGGUCGCUGAGUGGAAUGCCGCAGGUGGCGUUGCCACGUACAGAAGACAGACUAUAGGCCGCCCAC